AGCUUUGCGCAGCGCGCUUGCGCGAUGUGGGGGACGAUGCCGCUAUAGAGGCUUGUUUUGCUCUGGGUCCGAUGUUGGCGAGCGUGCUCGGGCGGUCUGCUCUCCCUUGGGGAGGCUGGGGUGCAGAAAUUCUGAAGUGAACGGAAGAGGCUGAGCUCUGGUACCCCACUUGGUGAAGAUGAAAGAUAUUGACAUGGGAAAGGAGUACAUCAUCCCCAGUCCUGGGUACAGAAGUGUCAGGGAGAGAAGCAGUGUGCCUGGGCCACUCAGAGACCGUGAGGACUCCAGGUUCCAGAGAUCAAGACCGUUGGAAUGCCAAGAUGCCCUGGAAACAGCAGCCCGGGUCGAGGGCCUUUCUCUGGAUGUCUCUGUGCAUUCUCAUCUCCAAAUUCUGGACGAGGAGCAUGCCAAGGGAAAAUACCACCAUGGCUUGAGUGCCCUGAAGCCCUUCCGGACCACUUCCAAGCACCAGCACCCAGUGGACAAUGCUGGACUUUUCUCCUACAUGACUUUUUCCUGGCUCUCUCCUCUGGCCCGUGUGGUUCACAAGAAGGGGGAGCUGUUAAUGGAGGAUGUGUGGUCUUUGUCCAAGUAUGAGUCUUCUGAUGUGAACUGCAGAAGACUAGAGAGACUGUGGCAAGAAGAGCUGAAUGAAGUUGGGCCGGAAGCCGCCUCCCUGCCCAGGGUUGUGUGGAUCUUCUGUCGCACCAGGCUCAUCCUGUCCAUCAUGUGCCUGAUGAUCACGCAGUUGGCUGGCUUCAGUGGACCAGUAAGUUCUAACUAUCCUUUCUGAACAUCUCCAGGGGCCCAGCCAUGGCCAGCACUAACCCUAUUCUGUUGCAGAGGUUAUGAUUGUCUUUGGGCUAGUUAGCAGCCUUAGAGACACUUCUAAGGCUACUAAAGAGGGUCAGUGGAUUUGGGAGUGAAUGGUGGCUUGUCAGCUAGAAGGAUGAGGGCACAGUGCUGCAGGAGAAGAAACCAUUGCUUGUUUUCCUGGGGCUGGGUGAAUCUGAGCUGGUCUGGUCCUGCACAGGACCUGCUUGUUGGUUCUGAGCUGACAUGAAGCAACAGUCUGGGAUAGGACAGAGUUGUCUUGUCAGUGCUGUGGGUGAGUGAGUGAUCGGAGUGUUGUGUGGCAUGUGUGGUGACAUUCCAGACGCCUGUGUUUAAUGGCUAAUGAAUGAUCCUGAGGAAGCUAGGAACCUAUGGGGGUUUUUAAGUUGGCAAGCACUGGGUGGCAGCUGUGUUUCCCUGGCCGAUGUGGAGGCAGUGUAGUGGCUAAGGGGCUUGGACAGGAGUUCUCAGGGCACCUUUUCUCAACUGUUGUGCUGCCUGACACUUGAGGUUCUGAUUGAAUUCAUUCUCUGCACACUUGCCUUGAGGCAUCGGAGCAGUGGUACUGGUUGACUGUGUGUUUUCCGGGUGUGGGUAAGCUGGAGGUGCAUGGUGGGGUAAGUAUGUGUCUAAGAUGCAUGGUGACUAGGUAAAACUAAUGUACACUUCUGAGGUAUUUUGUUACUUUUGUUGUUGUGGUUCUUUUUUAAUGUAUGAUCCUUUAAAAAAUAAAAGUUUUGGUAUUAGGUUUCUUAAUUGACCAACUAACACUUCUAUGUAAGUUUUAAACCAAAGAGACCAUGUAACUGAAAUGUCACGUUUUAGUCAGAAUGGCGAAUGUCUCAUAGAGCUAGCGUCCCCCAAGAAGAGCUUCUGUCAUUGUCUCACUACAGGGCUGGUGGCUGCUCUGACCCGUCACAGAGUUCUCUCAUCCAGGUAGAAGAGUAUGUAGCGUUGCUCAAUAAAAAUCGCAAUGGGCUUUCCUAAUUUCCCCUCUCUUGAACAAAUGCCAUGGAUUUCAGGGAUUAAAUUUUUACUCCACAAGAAGUAUUUACAGGACGCAUGCUCACUUUGGUGUCCUGGUCACUCCCCGGAGCGUCUGUUAAUGUCAUUUCUCACUUCUGAUGCAGCACACUGGGGUGCUGACCUAGAGAACUCUUCUAGAAGGCCAUGGACAGCUGAAUGCCUUUCAUAAUAGGAACACAUGGACACCUCACUCUGCCCUUUGGGAAGAGCCUUUGAAGAAUUUUCAGGAUGGCUGUAUUCUGCGGUCAGAAUGAGAGAGUCAAGCUGGGCAGAAUCUCUCGCCAAGAGCUCAGGUAAGGUAAUGUUUAUUCACUGGGAAUGCUUUCCACAGCAAGACAACUAUGCUGAUAAUUUCCAGUUUCCUUCCAGUAAACUUAGACUUAAAUGAUAAACUUACAACUGUUUUAAAAACACUGAGUUUGUUUGGAUUUCUCAUUAGAACCUGCUUUUCUUUCUCCCAAACAAGCUCAUUUGAAAUGCCAUUGCUUUUUAAACCCUGUGUUGGACGUUUCUUUACCCUUCUCUCUCUUCCCCUUUGAAAGUUUUGCAUAGUGUAAAUAUGCCUAUGUCUUUCCACCUUCCCUUCCCCUCCCUUUUGGGAGGGGCUGACUGCUUAUCCAGUGCUGAAAAGGGGCACCUAAAGGUGUAGGAAGGAACGAGUCCUUCCAGACAGCACCUGCUGGCCUUCCUUGGAGACGGCUCCACACUGCCGCUGUGUGUGGGAAAUUGCUUCAUCGCAGGCCAUCCUGCUGAGUUGCUUCACCAGAGGAGGAGGGCUUUGGCCUUGUGACCCAGUUCCACAUUUUGGAUGCAUACUGGAAAAGAAGCCAAUCUUCCUGCUAUUAAAUCUGUGCAGUGAGGACCAAACAUUGAAUCUCACAGUUCUGAGGGAGGUAGAGGUGGAUUACAGCAGUUCUUAGAAUCUGAACCCCCCCUUUUCGAUCAGGUGGUUUAUUUCCUGGGGCUUGACAUGAACCUAACUGUGGGCAUCUCCUAGGACCUAGUAGACAAUUUGAUGUUAAGUUACUUUCAGGAAACCUGAGAGGACGAACUCCCCCAGAACCUGGGUUCUGGGGUUCAGUUUUAGGUACUUGAGGAUGCUACGUCUGGCUUCUGUCCUGUGUCAUUUAGUAGCUUAUAGCCCCAGCCAGGACUCCUUGCUGUAGGAACUAGGGUAGAGGGGUGCAUGGGUUUAAUUUCUUUCUUUCUUUUUUUUCCUGUAGGGUGGGCAUUGGUUUGGCUUUCUUUUGUUAUAGUUUGGUUUGAUUUUUGCCAACAUCAGUUUUAGCUAGCAGGACUUAAAAAGACUCCAAAGGAUGCCAACACCCCUGCCCCAGCCAACCUAGAAUUUUGUACUCUGUCUGGAGCAGUGUGUUGCCUCUCAGCCUAGCAUGCCAACAGCACCUGCGGUUUUAUGCAGGGUACCUCGCUAGGGAAUUUUUAGUUUUUGUUUUUUUCUUAAUCUUCUUUCUUUAGCAGCAAGGUCUUUAUUGCUAGAGAAUCUCCUUGCUUGCAGCCUCAGGAUCCCACCUGAUGAAUGCUGCCAGCCUGAUGUACUCCUUCAGACCCUGGAAGCACGUGUGGCUCUGUUGUGUAUUUCUACUGUGUAUAGUUACAAGUUGGAGGCCAGACGGCCCGUGUGAUGGCUACCCCUGUAUGACUCUGUAUGUUCCCGCUGUAUGUUCCUAAUGCCCAACUACUGUACAGUGUUUGUGAGAUGUUCUUUAAAGAUGGUAAUCUUUAUAUAUAUAUAUAUAUAUAUUUCAUUUUCAAUAAAAGUACAUUGCUUCCCACUUCUGGUAUUUAAUGCUGUUGAUGAAUGUGCCUGUGUGAGUGUGUGCUCCGGCGUUGCAGGACCUCAGAGCUGGAGGUGGCACUCGUGGUUCUUGGGGGCUGGCUGUCUUCCCUCCCUGCAGGUGGUGUUAGACAUAUGCUACCUGAGGUAACAUGUUUUUGUUUUUGAGAGGGUGUGGGCGUGGGGAGGGCUGGAGGGAGGGUCCCUGGAGUUUGCUUUCUUUGCUCUCUUCUGUCCGAUUAAACUGCCCGUGUUUGUUUUCAGGGAUGUUUUGCACCUCUCACUCUUCCCCGUACAACUGUAGGUACACUGUUCCUUCUUAUCAAAUAAGCACGUGUGCAAGGAUACAGAGAAAGGUCUUGAUUUCCUUUAAAGAACUGUAGCCAUGUGUGAAGAUUCUGGAGUAAGGUCAUUAUCUACCUUUGGAUGACCAUUGUCUAGAAUUAAUUUCAGCUCAUGAACAGGUUUAUGUUACAUUAGAAAGAGCAACGGUCAUGAUGGCGCCUUCAGGAGGAAAGCAAACGGCCCCUCUGUCCUGCACCUGUGGCCAGGUUGCUGGUAAUAUUCGGUCCAACAACACAGUUCUUUCUUGGCUGACAUGCUGAUCACUGUGCCAUGGAGCAGCCUGCUCUUUCUAACCUAACAUAACACUGUGGCAUUGUGUGAGGUCGCGGUGGGGGCGUUGACAAUGGCGUAUGUUUCUCC